UACGAAGGGGGCUAGCGUUGCUCGGAAUCACUGGGCGUAAAGCGCACGUAGGCGGAUUGUUAAGUCAGGGGUGAAAUCCUGGAGCUCAACUCCAGAACUGCCUUUGAUACUGGCAAUCUCGAGUCCGGGAGAGGUGAGUGGAACUCCGAGUGUAGAGGUGAAAUUCGUAGAUAUUCGCAAGAACACCAGUGGCGAAGGCGGCUCACUGGCCCGAUACUGACGCUGAGGUGCGAAAGCGUGGGGAGCAACAGG
rnacentral:rRNA from 1 species